rnacentral:ncRNA from 1 species
CAGAGUAAAUUUGACGCGUUAAGACUUCGGUCUUUCAGUGUUGCGGGAUGGGAUGUCGCCCGCAAACGAAUGGCGCUUGCCUGCGGUGUCAAAUUGCGUCCGCUG